AUGUCAACGCCCCAGAGCGGCAGCGGGAGCCCAGCGACCACGGCGGCGGCGGUGGAGACGAGCAAACAUUGGGCGCCGCAUGGCCCGAUGCUGACGGCCUGCCUCGUCAGCAUCAACGUGCUAAUGAUCCUCCUCAUCUUCUUCUACUUCUGGCGGUUCUUCUCCGGGAAGCGAGGGCCGUCUAGCCCCGGAGGUGCUGACGAGGAGUCGUCAUCGACCGACUCGUCUCCAGCGACCUCGCCGAGAGCGUCCAGGCGCCUGCGCGACCCCGACCAGCCGGACAUCCCGUCUUCCCUGCCCAUGUCCGUGUUCGACUCGAGCAGCGAAGCCGCCGGGAAGGCGGCGGCAGACUGCGCGGUGUGCAUCGUGGAGUUCCGCGACGGCGACCUGGCGCGCCUCCUCCCUCGCUGCGGGCACCGGUUCCACGCCGCGUGCGUCGACGCGUGGCUGCAUCUACACUCGACGUGCCCGCUCUGCCGCGCCAGCGUGGUCGCCCCUGAGCCCGCCGCCACCGAGCCCAAGAACGACCCAAAAGACGACGGCGCGGAGUGCCCGGUGUGA
rnacentral:rRNA from 1 species